rnacentral:lncRNA from 1 species
AGAAAUUAAAAUACAUGUUAUUAAAUAACACUUGGGUCAAGAAUAUUAUAUUGAGGAGAAAACCGGACUCCAAAAGUAUAUACCGUACGAUUUUAUUUAUAUAAAGUUAGCAAGCAAAAAAUCCAUUGUAAUAAAGGUUAGAAUAAAGACCAGGCACAGUGGCUCACACCUGUAAUGCCUGCAUUUUGGGAGGCCAAGGUGGGCAGAUCACUUGCGGUCAGGAAUUCAAGACCAGCCUGGCCAACAUGGUGAAACCCCAUCUCUACAAAAAAUACAAAAAAAUUAGCCAGGCAUGGCACACACCUGUAACCCCAGCUACUCAGGAGGCUGAGGCCUGGUAAUCGCUUGAACCUGGGAGGCAGAGGUUGCAGUGAGCCGAGAUUCCAUCAUUACACUCCAGCCUGGAUGACAAAGCAAGACUCCA